ensembl:snoRNA
AGCCUGUGAUGACCAAUUAAUUACUUUUCUGACAUCUACUAUGAGCGCUGAUCAUCAGCCCUUGAUUCUAACUUUAUUCUGAGGCUC